rnacentral:rRNA from 1 species
GACGUAGGGCGCGAGCGUUGUCCGGAUUUAUUGGGCGUAAAGAGCUCGUAGGCGGCUUGUUGCGUCAGCUGUGAAAACCCGCAGCUCAACUGUGGGCUUGCAGCUGAUACGGGCAGGCUUGAGUUCGGUAGGGGAGACUGGAAUUCCUGGUGUAGCGGUGGAAUGCGUAGAGAUCGGGAAGAACACCAGUGGCGAAGGCGACGUGCUGGGUUGCACCUGACGCUGAGAUGCGAAAGUGUGGGGAGCAAACGGG